CAAAAAUGCGUCCUUAAGAACAUAGGAAGCUGCUUCAUACUGAGCCAGGCCCUUGGUCCACCGAGCUCAGUAUCGUCUAGACACUGACUGGCAGCGACUCUCCAAGAUUGCAGGCAGUAUCUUCUGGCAUCCUUGGAUCAGCCGACAAAGAAAUUCUUUUUGGACUCAGCAUGUGGUCAAAUGAAGAUCGAGUUCAAAGUGACAUGAAAAUCAGAAAUAUUGGCUAGAUAACAGGGUGUUUUGCUCAACAAAGGCACAAAAGAAGGCGAUCAGUGUAAACACACUUGUCAUGUAGUUUGUUUGGAGACGAGAUUGACUUUCAAAUUAGCCUGC